GGCCUUGACAUACUAAGAACUUUCCAGAGAUGGAUUGGUGCCUUCGGGAACUUAGAUACAGGUGCUGCAUGGCUGUCGUCAGCUCGUGUCGUGAGAUGUUGGGUUAAGUCCCGNAACGAGCGCAACCCUUUUCCUAUUUGCCAGCGGGUCAUGCCGGGAACUUUAAGGAUACUGCCAGUGACGAACUGGAGGAAGGCGGGGACGACGUCAAGUCAUCAUGGCCCUUACGGCCAGGGCUACACACGUGCUACAAUGGUCGGUACAAAGGGUUGCUACCUCGCGAGAGGAUGCUAAUCUCAAAAAGCCGAUCGUAGUCCGGAUCGCAGUCUGCAACUCGACUGCGUGAAGUCGGAAUCGCUAGUAAUCGCGGAUCAGAAUGCCGCGGUGAAUACGUUCCCGGGCCUUGUACACACCGCCCGUCACACCAUGGGAGUUUGUUGCACCAGAAGUAGGUAGUCUAACCGCAAGGAGGACGCUUACCACGGUGUGGCCGAUGACUGGGGUGAAGUCGUAACAAGGUAAGCGUAGAUGA
rnacentral:rRNA from 1 species